rnacentral:rRNA from 1 species
GUUAAACAUAAAGAGCGUAGGGUGGAUGCCUAGGCACUGACAGCCGAAGAAAGACGUGACAAGCUGCGAAAAGCUGCGGGGAGAAGCACAUAUUCAGUGAUCCGCAGAUGUCUGAAUGGGGAAACCCACUUGGAAGAACUCCAAGUAUCUGUACGCCAAUACAUAACGUACAGAGGGGAACCCGGUGAACUGAAACAUCUAAGUAGCCGGAGGAAAAGAAAACAACAGUGAUUGCGAAAGUAGCGGCGAGCGAAAUCGUAAGAGCCCAAACCGUGGUGCGUGCACUGCGGGGUAGAGGACUGCAAUACGAGUAAGAUAUAUUACCUGAACCGUUUUGGAAAAGCGGGCCAAAGAGCGUGAGAGCCGUGUAAGGGAAAAUAUAUUGAAUCCAGCAGUAUCCGGAGUACCACGAGACACGAGAAACCUUGUGGGAAGCAGGGGGGACCACCCCCCAAGGCUAAAUACUAGUCAGUGACCGAUAGCGUAUAGUACUGUGAAGGAAAGGUGAAAAGAACCCCGGGAGGGGAGUGAAAAAGAACCUGAAACCCUAUGUUUACAAACUGUGGAACACCGAAAGGUGAACCGCGUACUUUUUGUAGAACGGUCCGGCGAGUUACAUGUACAGGCGAGGUUAAGUAUUAAAGAUACGGAGCCGAAGGGAAACCAAGUCUUAAUAGGGCGAUAUUAGUCUGUAUGUGUAGACCCGAAACCGGGUGAUCUAUCCAUGUCCAGGUUGAAGUUCGCGUAAAAGUGAAUGGAGGACCGAACGCACAUCCGUUGAAAAGGGUGGCGAUGAGGUGUGGAUAGGGGAGAAAUUCCAAUCGAACCCGGAGAUAGCUGGUUCUCCUCGAAAUAGUUUUAGGACUAGCCUCGUUAUUAGUCUACCGGAGGUAGAGCACUGAAUUUUUGCGGGGGCGUCAAAGCCUACCAAGAGAUAUCAAACUCCGAAUGCCGGCUAGAUGAUUGACGGGAGUCAGACUACACGAGAUAAGUUGGGUAGUCAAAAGGGAAAGAGCCCAGACCUACGGCUAAGGUCCCAAAGUGUGUGUUAAGUGGAAAAGGAUGUGGGAUUUCGAAGACAGCUAGGAUGUUGGCUUAGAAGCAGCCAUACAUUAAAAGAGUGCGUAACAGCUCACUAGUCGAGAGGUCCUGCGCCGAAAAUGUCCGGGGCUAAACACAACACCGAAGCCUGGGAAUGUAGUAAUACAUUGGUAGAGGAGCAUUCUUAGAAGCGUAGAAGCCAUACCGUAAGGAAUGGUGGAGUAAUAAGAAGAGAGAAUGCCGGAAUGAGUAGCGAGAAAGAGGUGAGAAUCCUCUUGGCCGAAUAUCUAAGGUUUCCUGAGUAAAGCUGAUCUACUCAGGGUAAGUCGGGGCCUAAGGCGAGGUCGAAAGACGUAGUCGAUGGAUAACAGGUACAGAUUCCUGUACUACAUAUAAUCAGAACUGUGGGGACACGGAGACUGAAACCGAACCCGGGAGGACAAAAACCGGGGCAAGCGAAGUACCUGUAUGGGAGGAAAAACCACCAUACAAGGGGAAUGCGUGAUGCGUACCGAAAAUUAGUAGGGAAGUCGGUUAGGGAGCCGUCAAGAAAAGCCGCUAUUGUGUUAUAUGUACCCGUACCGCAAACCGACACAGGUAGAUGAGGAGAGAAUCCUAAGGCCGGCGGGAGAAGCAUUGUUAAGGAACUCGGCAAAAUGACCCCGUAACUUCGGGAGAAGGGGUGCCACUUUAAUAGAGUGGUCGCAGAAAAAAGGCUCAAGCAACUGUUUAGCAAAAACACAGGUCUAUGCGAAACCGCAAGGUGAAGUAUAUGGGCUGACGCCUGCCCGGUGCCGGAAGGUUAAGAGGAGAAGUCAGGAAACGAAGCUUUGAAUUGAAGCCCCGGUAAACGGCGGCCGUAACUAUAACGGUCCUAAGGUAGCGAAAUUCCUUGUCGGGUAAGUUCCGACCCGCACGAAAGG